rnacentral:rRNA from 1 species
AAGGACUUGCUCCGUAAGCCCAUGCCGGUCGAAGAUACCAGGCCGCUGCGACUGUUUAUUAAAAACACAGCACUCUGCAAACACGAAAGUGGACGUAUAGGGUGUGACGCCUGCCCGGUGCCGGAAGGUUAAUUGAUGGGGUUAGCGCAAGCGAAGCUCUUGAUCGAAGCCCCGGUAAACGGCGGCCGUAACUAUAACGGUCCUAAGGUAGCGAAAUUCCUUGUCGGGUAAGUUCCGACCUGCACGAAUGGCGUAACGAUGGCGGCGCUGUCUCCACCCGAGACUCAGUGAAAUUGAAAUCGCUGUGAAGAUGCAGUGUAUCCGCGGCUAGACGGAAAGACCCCGUGAACCUUUACUAUAGCUUUGCACUGGACUUUGAAUUUGCUUGUGUAGGAUAGGUGGGAGGCUUUGAAGUGGGGACGCCAGUUCUCAUGGAGCCAUCCUUGAAAUACCACCCUGGCAACUUUGAGGUUCUAACUCAGGUCCGUUAUCCGGAUCGAGGACAGUGUAUGGUGGGUAGUUUGACUGGGGCGGUCUCCUCCCAAAGAGUAACGGAGGAGUACGAAGGUGCGCUCAGACCGGUCGGAAAUCGGUCGUAGAGUAUAAAGGCAAAAGCGCGCUUGACUGCGAGACAAACACGUCGAGCAGGUACGAAAGUAGGUCUUAGUGAUCCGGUGGUUCUGUAUGGAAGGGCCAUCGCUCAACGGAUAAAAGGUACUCCGGGGAUAACAGGCUGAUACCGCCCAAGAGUUCAUAUCGACGGCGGUGUUUGGCACCUCGAUGUCGGCUCAUCACAUCCUGGGGCUGAAGCCGGUCCCAAGGGUAUGGCUGUUCGCCAUUUAAAGUGGUACGCGAGCUGGGUUUAGAACGUCGUGAGACAGUUCGGUCCCUAUCUGCCGUGGACGUUUGAGAUUUGAGAGGGGCUGCUCCUAGUACGAGAGGACCGGAGUGGACGAACCUCUGGUGUUCCGGUUGUCACGCCAGUGGCAUUGCCGGGUAGCUAUGUUCGGAAGAGAUAACCGCUGAAAGCAUCUAAGCGGGAAACUUGCCUCAAGAUGAGAUCUCACUGGGAUCUUGAAUCCCCUAAAGGGCCGUCGAAGACUACGACGUUGAUAGGUUGGGUGUGUAAGCGCUGUGAGGCGUUGAGCUAACCAAUACUAAUUGCCCGUGAGGCUUGACCA